UCACCUGGUCAGGGUUUCAGGGAAAAUUUCUUUCAGAGGAGAUUUCUGAACUGAGAGCCAAAGGCUGUGUAGGUGUCAGCCACGUGAAGAGGGAGGGAAGAACAUUAUUCCAGGUGGAGGAAAGCACACGUGCAAAGGCCAUGUAGCUGGAGACACCGUGCUGCUGACAGGGAGCUGAAAGGAGGCCAGUGGAAUACAGAAAAGAAGCACUAUGGUGGAAGAAGAGGCUGAAAGGUACAAAAUGCCGGCAUUAUGGUACUGUUGCUUUAUUCAUUUGAACCAUCACUAAGGUCUUAUAAAAAUGGCUGGGAGAAAUAGGUGACCAGUCUGUGAUUGAGCUCACUUGUGGACAGACGGUGUUACACCUGAAGAUAUAUCACAGUCCAUUCAUUCAUCGAAGAACUUACGCUGUUUCCAAUUUGGGAGAGACUUUAUGAAGAGAGCUGCUAUGUAAACAUCUGUGAACAGAUUUUUGUGUGAACAUAGCUUUCAUUUCUCCUAAGAGUGGGAGUUGCUGAGUCAUAUGCAGCCCUGAAGUCCAAGCAGACAGACGUGACAUAAGUUGGGCUACUGGGGUGCUGAAAUGGACCACCCACCUCCUCACUGCAGGAAGGAAGGAUUUGUUCCCGCAGCUACUUGGGAGUACUACCAGAAAUGGCCCUCAGUUACCAUCCCACUUGGUGAUUGCCAGCACACUGCCUCACCUGGGUCACACACUCUUUUUCCAGCUUGGCUUAUAUCCAAUGCCUUGUGAAUGUGGAUGACGGGGGAGUCCUCUAGCCAACUUAGGACAGCUCUGAAGGGUCAUCUACACUGCCGAGCUUUCUUUAGGGUGAGACAAAGUCUUAAUGGAGGCUGCAUUAUCGCCAACUUUCCCCACUACCAAUGCUGUUUCCUUCCUCUCCCUUCCACAGGAUCUGAUCCCAAGAGCCUUAGAAAUGUUCUGCAUGCCAAUCUUCACCUCAAGACAUGCUUCCUAAGGAACUCAACCUUUUUCAACUCUUUGGGUUGCACAUGGUCAGAACCAAACUAUCAUAAGGAAAGGAGGAAAAUCAUUAAAAGAUCUUGGGUUAUCUCAAGCUGCAUUACAAACAGUGGGAAAAGGAGAGGUGUAGUCCAGAUCAGAAACAACUCAAACUGCAGGGUGCAGCCACCAGAUCACUCUCUCACAUUCUCUCACUUUUUCCUUCUGUCACUUGCUCUAUCUAUGGUCUCUGUUUCUUUUUGUCAGCUAGAUAAAUUCUAACACUGUAGAUUCUCUACUUCUCCUAGAUAAGAAAUAUGGCUGCUAUAGUUUACACUUGCGUAUUCCUGUCAUCAGGUAAGGAUGAAGUCUUCUUCUCAAAACAGUUUGUAAAGUCUUAUGAAGCAUUCUGUUUGUCCAGAUUUGCAUCCAUUUCCAAGGACUGAACCUGGUGUCAGGCAGGGGAUGCUAAGAACAUGCUAACUCCCUGAAAUCACUUGGUAAGAAAGGAGAGCACUUCCCAAAGAGGGAGGCUUGUCUUUUUAGGGUCUAGGGAAAUAAUAUGUAUAGGAGUGAGCUGAUGUGCUCUGAGUGGAAAUCUCUUUAAUAUAUCAUUAUUGAAAAGAUAUCAUUGCUAUAAUAAUUUACUAUCUACCAAGUACUUUGCAGUUCAAACACAUCUUUAUCUUGUCUUAUUUUUUUACCUUUACAAGAUUUUUAAAUAUAUGCACAACUGGUGAUGUACCUUUUUAAAAAUCACAUGGCUACUACGAAUUAGAUCUGCAGUUCAAACUAGAUCUUCUAAUUCCAAAUCCAACUGGAAAAAUUGUCCACCUGUAUACCUAGUUACCAAUUCUUUUCCCCCAAAAAGCAUGAAUCUUAAUAGCUCCCCCCUUCAAGAAGAUCUACACAUUUCCUUUCCCUAAAGCAGUUCAUAAUGCAUUCAUAUGUGUGCUGCUUAUUGGUUGCACUUAAACCUCAUCAGAAUAAGUGAUGGCUUAUAAUGUCCAUUAAUUAGCACAGAAAUCACUCUUCCAUCAAUUUUGAAAAUGAAACAAAGAUCAAAAAUCAAUAUUGUCUGAAUUCCCACCGGCAAAUAAUGUUUCCUAAUGGUCAGUUAAAACAAAUGCAUUAUUUUACAAAGUCCACUCUCAAAAUACACGUCAGACCAAUAAAUCAUUUGUUUGAUCAAGAGAUAACCAUUUUUAUUUUUAUUUUCUAGCACUUUUCCCUCUACAUCAGGAGUAAUAUUACAAUAUAGUUUUGGUUUCUGCAUUUGGUUUCACUUAAGAUUAGCCUGAGUAUUUUUUAUACUUGAAUUUACAUUUUAAUCUAGUCAUAACAUAACAUAGAUAAAAAGUGUAUAUUGUUAAAGGAAAAUCUUGACAUAUAUAGAUGUAUCCCAUGCAACCCAACCACCACUUAGAUCAAGAUGCAGAUCAAAGUUUCUGUUCUGUCUCUUCUAGUCUAUCUAGUCUUCAGAGGUAAUAUUCUGAUUACUAUCACCAUUGGUGUGUUUUGCCUGUUCUUAAGGUUUUUCAUUCAACUUAAUGUGUAUGAUAUUCAUUCAUAUUGUGUUAUGUACCAUUAGUUCAUUCUUUUUUACUGCUGAGUAGAAUUCCAUUAUAUGAACACAUCACAAUUUAUUUAUCCAUUCUAUUGAUGAGCAUUUGGGUAGUUCCCAACUUUUAGCAAUUAUGAAUAAAAUUACUUGAAACAAUCUUGUCCUUAUUCUGUGUGCAUAAAUGUAUGGACUCAUUUUUCUUGAAUAUAUACCCAGGAAUUGAAUUGCUGGGUCAGAGGAGAGGUUUAUGUUCACAAAAACAGCCAGUGUUCCAAAGGACUUACAUCACUCAGAAUUUGCACCAGCAAAAUAUGGGAAUUCCAUUUGUUUGUUAUCUUCAACAGUAGUUGGUAUGGUCAGUCUUUUUAGUUUCAGCUACUUGGUGGGGGGAAGAGUAUCACAUUGUUAUUUUACUUUGCAUUUCCAUAGUGACGAUGUUGGUCACCUUUUCAUGUAAUUGUUGACUGUUUGGAUAUCCUCCUUUGUCAAAUGCUUAGUCAUUUGUCAUUUUUAAAUUUGAUUUUUUUCUUUUGCUUAUUAAUUUGAGGGGGUUCUUUUUAUAUUCUGGACGUUAAUCAGUUAUAUGUAUUGCAAAUAUCUUCUUCCCUUCUAUCUUAUAUAAAGAGCAUAAUGUUUCCCUUUAAUGAUGGUUUUGAUGAACAGAAGUUUUAUUUUUUACAUUUAGGGGUAUAAUAUAUCUCAAAUUAAUUUUUAUGUGGUAUAUAGAGAUCAGAGUUCAUGUUUUACCCAUCUAAAUAUCUAAUUGGUCUAGCACUACU